AUCUUCUCUCUCUCACCUCGCCCUCCUCUCGCUCUCUCCGUCUCUCCCUCUCUUCCCUCUCUCCCCUCUCCUCUCCAGAAGUGAAGCGCGCCAUUACGGGCCCCGUGUAUCGUCGCUAAAAGACUGAAAAGCCUCCUAAAGGAUACACAGUGGGCGUGCGGGCGUGAGAAGCCUCGGCAUUCGGGCGGCUAAAAGCAGUCCUCACCACGCGAGACGGCCAGUGCUUCGCCGACCACGCGAGGGGAAACACGCACGCCAUCGGCUCCCCUCACUUACGCGGCCAUCGCACAUGCUGUGUUGAUAUUGAUUGAAAUAUUCAAAUUCUUUUACUUAAAAAUAAAGAAAAGAAAUCAAAACAAAAAGUAUUAAAGAUAAGAAUAGAAAAGUGUUAAGGAAGUGAAAUAAGAAAAAGGAAAUAACGAAAAAAGCAAAAGCAAAAAAAAGAAAACGAAAUAGAAAUAUAUAUACAAGUUCCCAAAUUUCUUCGUUUCGGUCAAGUUGGCGAGGUCGUCGGUGUUCUGCUAAGCUGUAAGUUGUACUUUGUGUUGUUGUUAAAUGUUUCUUAUUUUCAAUGAUUUCGGGAGUCAUGUGUUGUUGUUGCUGUU
rnacentral:lncRNA from 1 species